AUUGGGGUGACUGAUUAUUUUACCACAAUGGCCUUGGACAUAAAGCUGAUUCCUUUCAUCCUUUCACGGUUUUUUGGCUGCAGCAGAUGUCCCUGCUGUGGAGAGGUGAGGGGUCGUGAAGUUAGCGCGUGGCGUCUUCACAGCAUACAUCCUUCCAGCUGACUCAGGCCUCUGCAGUGCCUCUUUUAUUCUGGAGACUUCCAUCAGUUCACAGUUGCAUAGGCACUGUUCCAGGCUCCGAGGAUACAUCUGUGAGCAAAAAAGACCAUCUCUACCUCAUGGCGCUUACAUUGUCUUGAGGAGAAACUGACAAUAAAGUCAAAAGAAUCAUAA